AUGUUCCUCUUGAGAUCCAUGCCCCCAACAGCUUCUAUUAAUUUUCUCAAUCCAAGAAGAAGAAGAAGCAUAUUUCAAAGUUCAGAGAGGAAGGCUUAUCUAACAGACUGGCCAGUGAUGGAAUGGAUGCUUCACAGAUAUUUCAAGCAGGCUACAAGAAUCCUCCCAGUUGAGUCCUACUACAAAUCCAUCAUUGAUCCUGGAUCCAGGCUACAGCUGGCAAAGGAGAGGAAAUACAGAGUUCAAAAUAAGGUGAGGAGGCUCACAGCCAAAAAAUCCCAUCUGCAGCGACUACUUAUGGCCUACCCUGGCCCAUAUGGAAGUUCACUGCUUUUACCAUUUAGAGUUCCCAGGAGAGCUUGUCUGGAAGGAGAAAUAAAUCCCCAUCCCCACUAA
rnacentral:lncRNA from 1 species